rnacentral:rRNA from 1 species
UACGUAGGGGGCAAGCGUUGUCCGGAAUUAUUGGGCGUAAAGGGCGCGUAGGCGGCCACCGCAAGUCGACUGUGAAAUCUCCGGGCUUAACCCGGAAAGGUCAGCCGAUACUGCGGGGCUAGAGUGCAGAAGGGGCAACUGGAAUUCUCGGUGUAGCGGUGAAAUGCGUAGAUAUCGAGAGGAACACCUGCGGCGAAGGCGGGUUGCUGGGCUGAUACUGACGCUGAGGCGCGAAAGCCAGGGGAGCGAACGGG